GGAGUGGUGGAAAAGGUCAUGAAAACAACUCAUGCCGUUUACUGAAAUGUGUACUUUUAUCCAGAGAUCAUUAAUCUGUAUGCUGUACGUAACAUGAUAUUGUCUGUUCUAUUGCUUAAGUGCUAGGUAAACAGUAUACCUACGUGUACCUGCAUGUACACACUUACCACAAAGACAAAAAAAAUUACUGUACUGUUGUACGAUGAAAAUUGCCACAAGUAAUUUGAGAUUAAAAAGGUAUUGUUGUAUGGGUAAAUCAGUGUAGUUUCGAACAUCGGUUAAUUUCAACGGAAACAGAAAAGUACGGCACAAUAUUUUUACACAAGUGCUUAGACGAGGUUUGUAUCAUUAUCUGGGACUGAUGACAACUUUUCCUUGAAUUUGUUUCCCACAGUACUUUUACGAUUGUGUUUUGAUGUAAGAUAUUACCAUCUUCAGUACGCUUAUUUCAAAUCAGGAAACUCGAAUAAAGACAACUCCAAUGACCUUAUUGCAAACAUUUACAAUGUACAGAUAAAAUUGAAACUAUUUUAAUUGUAAUUGGCAUUUCUUUAAGUUGCAGUUUCUUUUUUUUUUUUUUACAAGUUUAUCAUAUUUCCCUCAAAAUGAACUACAACUUAAGAUUGGUCAAAAUUUACCCCCGGUGUGUGUUUAGGAUGUGGGUAAAUUCCACAAAAGUAAUCCAAACUAUUCUCUCAUCAAUCUAAGUGGAUUAAUUUGAUCUAGAAUUAAACUCAAACACAUAGCUGGACAAUAUCGUUUAUAAAUGACUGUUCAUGUCUUUUUAUACCCACAAUUUCUAAAGAAAGUUUGGGUAUAUUGCUGUUACCACAGUCCGUCCGUCACACUUUCUUCUUCCUAAAACUCCCCCUUUUUUUUUUUACGCAGUAACAAAUCAGUCUUUUGGAAUAUGAUUGCUGGUGUCCUGUAGAUGUGCAAUAAGGUUACAGAAUUUUCAAUUUUACUUUGGUGUCAAAAUGAGGGUAAAAGUAAAGAGAUGUUUUUUCUAAAAGGAAAAAAAUCUGUUUACCAAACUAUUCAUAAUUCUUAUUUACUCAAUUAUAGCCAAAUCAUUUGUUGGAAGAUGAUUGGUGGUCUUGUAGAUGUGCAAUAAGUUUUAGAAUUGUCUUUUUUACCUUAAGGGGCAAAUGCUGAACAAAUACCUGGUGACAAAUCUUUUCCACAGCCUUCUUACAUCAUACUCGUUAAUCAUUUCUUUAAUUGACAUAAUUAUGCAGUUUGGCUCUUAUCAAAAUGAUUUUUGUAUGUCUAACGGAACUCCUUGAAACGCCAUGGUUUAGAUUAUCAAUCCUGUGCGACAAAUGGAAUUGUGUACUAUGCUUGUAAAUGCUUUAGGGCUGUUCCAGAUAUGAUCAAAUGGGGGGGUCGGGCGGCAAAUGAUAUUUUUUUGUGUGGGUGGUCGUAUUUUUUCAUAUUUUAAUUGGUCCGUGGUGGGACUGUUAAAAAAAUAUUUAUUAUGGGUAGUGGGUAGUUUCUAUUGUUUUAUUUUGUGCCACGUGGGUGUUGAGUUUUCAGAAUAUUUUUAUUGUCGCUCUUGUCGUGUUGGUUACAAAACGUCGGAGGAAAAAUUGAAAACGUGCUUUUGAAAUGCUGCUUUCGAAAUCGGAAAUCGGAAGUAACAUAGAACUAUUCGAGUUGUCGCUCUUUGCAGCGCAUAACUUUCCAUUACGGCACUCUUUAAAUUAGAGGCGCGUUUAGUAGGGUCCCUUUGGACGUGAUGGCGGCGAACUCUGUUCUGUAGAUUAUUACAGUUUACAGUGCAUCGAUUUGGGAAUAUUUUGAAACCAUUAGGUAUUCCGUUUUCUAAUAAAAAUAGGCAAACCUUAGUUGAUUUAUACGAGGGUACCGAUGCGUUAUAUUUAUCAGUUGGUGUGAUGGUGAUAUAGAGGCCUCGGGGCGCGGGCUCCAUUAGAAGACGAAUGAUUCGUGGAAAAACAUAUCCAUACCCAUUUCAUGAUAAUAGCAUCGUUUGGACUCCCAAUCUUUCCAACAUUCCCGCCAUAGAUGCCUUUGAUUGUUGAUGUGACAUCGUUUCUUCAGAACUACUGUGAUACAAUAUCGCACAGGCAUUACCGCGUCAUUGACUAGAAUGUUUGUCCCGAAAACCUCGCGAGAUUUGUACCGUUUUCAUUUUUAAAAAUAUUUUUGUGGUGGGUCUGGUUAGUUUUUUUUUUUUUUUAUUAGAUGGGUCAUUGUAAAAUGAGUUUAUUAAUUUGAUGGGUCAUGGGGUAAUUUUUAAUUUUUUUUUAUGGGUGCUUGGUAUAUACAAAAGGUGCCUCCCCCCCCCCC